rnacentral:rRNA from 1 species
UACACAUCGCCCGUCACUCUCGCCCAACUAACCUAACAAGCAAGGGGAGAAAAGUCGUAACAUACUAGGCCUAUCGGAUGGUGCGCCUGGACAAC